rnacentral:lncRNA from 1 species
AUCUUAUUGAACGAUGUUAUGCCUUUGAUGUAUAUUUAACAAGAACAAUAUAAAAGCAAUAAAAUAUAAAUGUUGGAUGAUUUACUACAUGGUAUUAAGGUUAUCACUCACUGAAUUCAAGUUGUGAAAAUUCAUUGGAUUGGCGGGGUGCUCAUUAGUGUCUCCACGACAGUCUGCAAUUGUUUGACCCUAAAUCAAGGAGUAAAGGGAGAGCAUGAUCAGUAUAAGGAAUGAUUUGAAUAUUCAGUUAUCCUCUCAUCACUGAUAUAUAGUACUAUAGUAGUUGAGAUCAACAAAACUUGUCAUAAUUAAAUAAUAUAAAACUAGUUUCAAAAUUCACCCAGUUCAACCAUAAACUCUCAGACGAAUAUGAUGCAAUUUUUAAUCUUCUAAAAUAUUCACAAAUAUUCUUACCAAUUAUUGCUAUGUGAAAGAAUUUAACUUACAUUAAGAUUGGGGAGAUAAUUGGUUUCAGCGGAUGAGGAUUCUGGUGGAAACACAAGAUGCUGAGGCCCUUCUUGGCUUCUCAACGAAAACUGAUUAAAAAUAAUCUUAUUGAUAUGCCUUUGAUAUAUAUUUAACGAGAGCAAUAUAGAAGUAAUAAAAUAUAAAUGUUGGAUGAUUUACUACAUAGUAUUAAGGUUAUCACUCACUGAAUUCAAGUUGUGAAAAUUCAUUGGAUUGGCGGGGUGCUCAUUAGUGUCUCCACGACAGUUUGCAACUGUUUGAUCCUAAAUCAAGGAGUAAGGGGAGAGCAUGAUCAGUAUAAGGAAUGAUUUGAAAAUUCAGUUAUCCUCUCAUCACUGAUAUAUAGUAGUCAAGACCAACAAAACUGUCAUAAUUAGAUAAUAUAAAAUCAGUUUCGAACUUCACCUAGUUCAACCAUAAACUCUCAGACUGAUAUGAUGCAAUUUUUAAUCUUCUAAAAACUUCAGUAUUUCCUAGAAUACACGUGAAAUUUACUAUACUACAAGCUUGAAACUUCGUAAACAUGUAUUUAUGUUCUUCCUUUGAAAGUGGGAAGGCAGCAUAACUGUAAAUCUUAUGUUUUCUUUCCAGUUCCGACAAAUUUAAUAAAAAUGAACAAAUACCUAGUACGGGGACUGAGCCACUAGGUUAUGGGUUCAACGAAUGUCAUGUGUGAACGGCUUCUACCUUAGAAAUGUUAUAGUAAAUGAAAAUGAAUGGAAAUUUAAGAUGCACAAUUUAUACAUGGAACUCCAAUUUAUAUUGAAUUCUCUAAAAAUAAAGUCAAAUCGUUGAGUUAAAUUAAAUUUAAGUACGAACAUCAAUAACUAGUAUUACUCACAUUAGUAAAGUUAUAGUAAUCAAAAAUUAAAUGAAAAUUCAAGAAAGAACUUAUAAUGGCACUCCAAAUUAUAUUAUGUUAGCAGAAAGUCAAAAUCUAGAGUUCAGAUAAAUCUGAGUACAAACAUGAAUAACUAGUAUGGCUUAUACAUUAUAGUAACCAAAAACUAAAUGGAAAUUUAAAGUUAUUGAAUUAUGUAAGAAGAAAGUCAAAUUAUAGGGUUAACGUAAAUCACAAUACAGGCAUGAUUAACUAGUCAUAAUAAAAUUUUACAUUGCUCAUUUUAAAAGGUAGCAAAAUCAUGCAAAAUAAUUUUCUAAUCAAUUUAGUUAUUAAUUCACGCGCAUGUGCAAAACCUUGAAAUCAAAAUCAAUCCCAAUAGACACAGAAAGUAGUUGAACAUUUCAUGGACCAAAAUUUUUUAAUAACGAUGUAUAAAAAAUGUUCAGUUUUCAUAUGAAGAGAUUGACAUCACAAAUAUCAACACUGUUACCCAUCAUACUAUUGCUAAAUGAAUUUAUCUUACGUUAAAACCCUGCCGAUAAUUGUUUUCAGUUGAUGAGAAGGAUGGUAGAAACACAUGAUGCUGAGGUGCUGCAUAGCUUCUUGUGACCAAGGCCUGAUGAAGAAAAACUGUUCGCUAAAAAUAAUCUUAUAGAACGAUGUCAUGCCAUUAAGUUAUACAAAACAGGCACGAAAUAAAACUAAUAAAAAUAUCGUGGAUGAUUUACUACUUAGUAGGUUGUAUCACUCACUGAAUUCAAGUUGUGCAAAUUCAUUGGAUAUUCUGGGUAUUGAUCAGUGCAUCCACGACAGUCUGCCACUGUUUGCUCCUAAACCAUGCAGUAAAGAGUGCAAGUGCGUGAUCAGUACAAGGAAUGAUUUGUAAAAUCCAGUUAUUUCUCUAUCCAUUGAUAGUAACCAACAAAACUGUCAUCAUAAUUUAAAAUUAAGUUGGAACAUCACCUUGUUCAACUAUAAACUCAGCCUGAUAUGAUGCAAUUUUUAAUAUUCUAAAACCUCUUUUCUUGAUUCAAAACUUCAUUGUUUCCCGGAACACAUACAUAUAAAUUUAUUUACAUACUAUUAAGUUUGAAACUUUCAUCCACAUACAUUCUCCCCUAGCAAAUGGGAAGGCAAUAUAAUUUGUAAAUCUUAUAUUUUCUUUCCAGUUCUACAAAUUUAAAUACAAUAAUGAAUAAAUAACACAGUAUGGAAACAGGGACACUAGAUUAUGGGUUCAAUCAUUGUCACUGGUCAACGACUUAUACAUUAGAAGUAAUUGAAAAUUAAAUGAAAAUUCAAGAAAAACCACUCAUACAUGAAACUCCAAACUGUGUUGAAUUCUCUAAGAAGAUAGUCAAUUUCUAGAAUAAGCUAAUACAGGUACAAAAAUUGAUAAUUGUUAUGACAUAUAUAUUGGAAAAGCCAUUGUAUUCAAAAACUAAAUGAAAAUUCAAGGAAAAACAACUUAUAAUGGCACAUAAAAAUAUAUUGACUUAUAUAAGAGAGAAUCAAAUAUGAGUACAAAUAUGAAUAACUACUAGGGCUUAUACAUUAGAAAAGUGAUAGUAAUCGAAAAUUAAAUAGAAAUUCAAGAAAAAAUUAACUUAUACAUGGCACUCCAAAUUAUACUGAAUUAUCAAAGAAGAAAGUCAAAUUCUAGAGUUAAAUUAAAUCUUACAAACAUGAGUAACUAGUCAAAAUAAAACUAUAGAUUGCUUAUUUUAAAUGGUAGCAAAAUCAUGCAGGAUCAUUCUCUAAGAAAUGUCAUGUUAUUUAUUCAUGUGCACAUCCAUAAAGUAUGAAUUCAAAUCAAUCGUCCUGCAGACACUAAAAGUAGUUGGACAUUAAUUUCUUGGAGUUGAAACUCCUAAAAUGAUGUAUUUAUAAUGUUUUUUCCUUUACGUAUGAAGAGAUUGACAUUAAUACUAUCCACCAAAUUUUUGCCAUGAGUAAGAAUUUAUCUUACAUUAGAACCUUGCCGAUAAUUGGUUUCAGCAGCCGAGAAUGAUGGUGGAAACACAAGAUGCUGAGGCACUUCUUGGCUUCUCAUGAGCAAGGCCUAGUAAAGAGAAGGUAAACUUGUAGAACAGUAAUCUCAUAGAACAUGUCAUGCCAUUAAUGUAUAUUUAACGUUCACGAUAUAAAACUAAAAGAAUUAAUAUUCAGGUUGUAUCAACUCACCAAAUUCAAGUUUUGCAACGUCAUUGGAUAUGCUGGGCUCUCGUUAGUGUUCAUUGGAUUGGCUGGGCACUGAUGAGUGUCUCCUCCAUGAGAGUCUGCUGAUAUUUCCUUCAAAUCAAGGAGCAGUAGAGGAUGCAAGUGCAUAAUCAGUAUAAAAAUAAUUUGUAAAUUCAUUUAUUUCUCUGUGUUAAUAGUCUAUAGCCAAAAAUCAUAAUUUAAAAUCAAGUUGGAACUUGAGCUUGUCCAACCAUAAACUCUUAACCUGAUAUGAUUCAACUUUCAAACUUCUAAAACCUAUUUUCUUUCCCCACAAUAAAUAAAUAAUUUUGUGAUUCUUUCACCCAAUACACAUGCAAUUUACAGACUACAAAGUUUGAAACAUUUCAUCCACGUAUGUUCUUCCCUCACAAGUGGGACGACAAAAUGAAAUUUUGUAAUUAUUAUUUUUCUUUCCAGUUCCUCCAAAUGUUAAUACAAAAAUGUAUAAAUACAUCACUAUAGCCACUAGGUUAUGGGCAAAUGGCUUAUAAAUAGAGAAGUCUUAGCAAUUGAAAAUUAAAUGAAAAUUCAAGGAAAAACAACUUAUACAUUGUACUCCAAAUUAUAUUGAAUUAAGCACAAGUCUAAGUGUAGAAUUAAAUUAAGCCCCAUUUGGUAAAUAUUAAAAUCAGAUUUUCAACAUAUUUUGAUAAAAAUUGAUGGAAUAUGUGGUUGAAAACUUGUGAAUCCUAUGAAAUGUACAGUUAAAAUUAAUUGUUGACUUUAACUUAAAUUUUAAUCAAUUUUUUUAAUAGUACCAAAUAGGGGCUAAAUUCUGAGAAUAGACAUGAAUAAUGUCAAAUAUACAUAUUUUAUGUGACUUCUAGUUUUUUGUUUAUGUGGAGUACUGUUAUCCUUUGAAUAAACUAAAACUGAAUGAAUAGUUAAUAAAAAUUAAGAAUAAUUUUUAUCAGAUAAGGGAUCCCCUAUGAUGCUCCUAUCUAAAUGCAAACAGAAAUAAAAUAAGAUACUAAUCUAAUUAUUUAUAUCUUCAUUUCACCUAUAAAUUAUCAGCAGAUGUUUAAGAAUAAAAAGGUAAACUACUAUGAUAUCAGUGAAAUUAUACACACAGAUAAAUUCAGACCAAAAAAGAAGACAGCUUCCAAACGAUGUGUUUCACUAACUAAAUGAAUAAGGUAUUAUUAUUUAAGAGUAGCAUUAAACAUUGGCUUGGUCUACUGGCUGAGUUCAUUAUGCAAGUCUUGAGUUGGAGCUGAACUAAAAUUUCCGAUUUAGACAACUGGGAGGUUAAUUAUGGUACUGACCUGUAAUACUAGUUGAGGACCUCGGGUUGUCUUUUUUCAUUGUCAAUCUAAAUUAAGAGAACCGGACCAACCCAGUGGCCAAUUACUCCAUUCCUGUCAUCUUUUAAUCACUAUGUUUUAUAGUCUAUUUCAGAUUGAAGGUAUUAAGUGUGACAAUUAUGUUGAUUCUAAUACAUAUGCAGGGUAGAAUAUUACAAAAAUAAUAAGUUUAGAUUACCAAAUGCAACUUCAAUGAAAACACAUGAACAAUAAGUGGUAUUUUGUGUAUUCAUAUUCAGAUAUGGAGCCUAAAAGUGAGAAAGGGACAUUCAAAAUAUUUGGUCUUGGCUAUUAGUGGUUGUAAAUUGAAAACAUUGUAAUUAGAAAAGGACAAACGUGAUAUCUAUCAGAAGAGACAAUUUUAGCUAGGAAGCUGAGAAGCUCUUCACCCAUUAUUGCCGUGAAAACAUCACGGCGCCGCAGAGAUUGGCGACUGUUAUCUUCUGCGUUCAUCCAAGCUCGAAGUGUGAGAUCCAAAAUGAAGAUCUCACAAGCUUUUGCAAAUAAUAUUGGAGUGUCAGUGCUGAUCAUCUGAAAAUAUGUUCGAAACAAAGAAAAUACUGAGAUGUUAUGAUGCUCAAUAUAUAAUAACUUCAAUGGAGCUACAAUGUAUCAAAUUCCUAAUCUUAACUAACAGGGGCAGAGGAAGCCCAUGGGUACCCCAAAGUCCACUUAAUUUUUAUAGUUAAAAAAAAAAACUACAUAAAUCUUCUUUUUCUAUGUAUGAGACCAAAAAAAAAAAAAAAAUAGAAAAAAUAAAUCUCCUGCUGACUCCCAUGUGUUACCAAUUUAUUAUUAAAUAUAACUAAUUAUCUUUAUGAAAGAGUUCAAAUUCCUAUUGAACGAAGCAACUAAAAGAAAUCAACCUUACACUAACGUAUAGAGUUUUUAGCAUUUUCUGCAGAGAAUUUAGUAGAGUCCGCUAGUCAACUAUGGAAAUUUUCUUUCGUUUGGGGAUUUGGUAAGAACCAAGCAUAUCAAGAUAUGCCUACCUUUACAUUUUUAUCAGAUUUCAUUAUCUUUCUUAUCCGAGCAAAGGGAAGCACAUGUUUGUACCGUAUAUCUGCAAAAUGAGCGACAUAAAGAAAAUAAAAUAAUUAACAAAUGAAGUCUAUGCAGAAGAAACACCAUUUUUUUAUUUUUUAUUUAUUUUUUAUUUAAUUUUUUUUUGGUUUCCAACAACAAGAUAAAAUAUGGAUUUCAAUUUAUCAAUUCAAUAACUCUAAAAAUCAAUGCACUCAUUAAUUUCAGCCAUUACCACAUGGGCAAAUGUAAAAUAGCAGUAGUUACUAGUGCUUUUUGACUUAAGUGUAUAUUGGAAUAAUUAUAGCCUGAAAAAUUGCGAGGCAUUUUUUUUCUUUUGGAUCAUUGAUGGAAAAAAGGAGUCAUACUAUUUCUUUCAUGUUUACAAGAUUCGAUCCUCCAUUAGCAAAAAGUCCUUUCAUAUUGAUUACAUUUUUUCACAAUAACUGCAAAGAGGGGUAAAAUGAGAAAAUUCAUUACAAGAUCACGUAUUCAUAGACUUUAAGAAGUACAUGUGCAACAAAAAAACUUUUGGCAAGGCCCUCAAGGAUGAAGAGAACUGAGGACAUCCCCGAAGAGCAGAGGAUUUCAUGACAUUUCGAAUUGGGUGUCUUCUAUUUCUAAUAAGUUGUUUGUAGUUGGCUUGUCGAAUCAUAAACAUAAUAGCAAAGUUAUUUAGCACCAUUAAUGUUAAAAUAUCGGUCUAUGGGGCACUAAUGUAGCAUUAAAUGAGAGAUAUAAUUAAAUGAAUAAUUUAAUUCAACAUUUCAUUGACUUUAUCAUUAAACGCUACCUAAACUGGUGUUCAAGAAUUACUAGUACUAGGUAGCAUUACUCUAUACAUAAUGGGCUGGUUUAGAUUCAUCAUAACCGGAUGAUUAUGAAUUAUAUUGAAUUGAUGGUCCAACCUUUCGUUUCUAGCAUAAAUUCUUUUCUCAGUGCAAAAAGUUUAGAGCUCAUAUCAGGUAUAAAGAGAUUUAGAUAAUUCUGAACCGUAAAUAAUUGCAAGUUAAUGACAUGGGAACAAGGUGGAUAGAAACAAAAAUUAAGUAAAGCAAGUGGAGCAGCAAAAAUUAAGUAAAACAAAUUGGUCAAACGGUUGGAGAAUUUUGCACCACCCCGAGAGUUACGGAUCUCAGCCAGUCGAUCAUUCCAAAAAGUUAGCAUGUUUUGCCUUAAUAGAUUCUUAAAAUGAAAACUCCUGGCCUCUCCAUCCUUUAUAUAACACAAGUAGAUGAUUUCUAUGAGUUAAAAGAUGAAACUGAUAAAAAGUAAAGGUAUAAGCAUGAAAAGUACGGCAGCUAUCAACCGAUAGAUUCUUAAAAUGAAAACUCGUGGCCUCUCCAUCCUUUAUAUAACACAAGUAGAUGAUUUCUAUGAGUCAAAACAUGAAAUUGAUAAAAAGUAAAGGUAUAAGCAUGAAAAGUAUUGCAGAUUUGGUUCAACUGCUACCUGAUUGCUGUGACCUAAAAAGAAAGGCGGCUUGUCCAUAAAGUUAUGUGCCUAUGGUGGAGGAUUUGAAGACGGAAAUUGAACAGGAGGGUUGAAGUCCAAAAGGUUUGCGUCCUUAUGUCUAUCUAUGUAAAUACGGUGUUUAUAAAUAGGUGCAUUCAGAUGCAUACAUAAAAAGGUAGAUUAAUAGGACAGGGAUGAGUAUUAAUUUGGCGUUAUCAUUAUAUGGAAUUUAUUUUAUACCGUCAGCAUAUUAAUAAAAAUAAGAAUAGUGGCAUCUGAAACAGGUUUGUAGCAUUAAUGACCCUAACCUGCUCUUCAACGAAUGUUUGGGGAUUUUGAUAAUUUGACUCAUUAUAUGGUAAGUGCGCUGUCCAAUCAACUUGUAGGCUCGUCGAGGAAGUGAGAUUUUAGACAAGUCAAGAUUUCCAAAGUUGCUUACUCGUAUCUUUUUCCCUCUGCUAAGACCUUUUACCUUCCAAAUUCCAACUCUUGUGUUAAUGUCAUUUUGUAAAUUUGUGACCCCCUUUCUUUGAUUGUAGUUUCUGUACUUCCGUUCUUCUCAGAUCCAUACAUGGAAAUCAGAUGAUUGAAGCCUAGUAGACAAUUUGUCACAUAGUUAAUGUUUUCAUUAAGGUGUCAUCUUGACUCACAUAGGUCUGAAUCAUGGUAAUUGAGCCUUUUCUUUGAGAUUUAAGGAAAACUUCUCAUGGAAUAUUCUAUCAACGUAAAUAAAUUGAACCUUGCAAUGCAAAUAAAUGUUCAUAAUUAUAUGGCACUCAAUCAAAAGUUUCACGAGGAAAAUUUAUCUUCAAUUUCCUAACUGGAUUUUAAAUUAAAAUUUCAUGCAAGAUUAAGAUAUGUAUGGAUAUUGAAUAUGAGUUUCACUUUUCAUACCGUAGUGCCAAAUGCUAAUGCUUGCCUGCAAACAUUGGUAAGUAUCUCUCCAUUCUGCCUUGUGUUUGAAUCUAGGCUUCCUGCAAUUGCAUUUGUUGAUCAAUACUACUAGGACUUCUGAAAUCCAAGGAAAAAUUACUAGUUACUUCUUUGGUAUAUAAAACCUCCCUCUAAAAUAUCUAACAAGGAAAACAGAAAUUGUUACCAGUGGUGCUGUAAUAUUCAUGAAUGCACACAAAGGAGAAAGAUAUAAAAAGUAACUCCUAUAUUCAGUGUUUGUGGGGGCAGUCCCGUGUAGCUACCAUAGACAAUACCAUAAAUAAAUGUGCCAAUUUUAUAAGGGGAAAUUGAACUUUCUUAACUCUUAGUAUAGUGUUUACACAUAUCAAAGAAGUAUUAGUACAUUGUUCACGGCCUUCUUUCAGCAACUAAACCUGCAUAUAUGAGAAAAUAAAAAAUUAAGUAAUUAUGCUCAAAAUGAUUUCCAAUAAAUAUAAGUGAUUGGAAAGGAAUGGAAACUUGAGGAUGUUUUACCAUGAUCCAAUAUGACCUCUGUGAUUGCCUUCCUACUUGCCAUCACAAAACAGGUUCAGCGUGUAGAAGGGCUUAAGCUUCCGUAUCAAAAUUCCCUAGAACAAAACAUAACUAAGAAACCAUUAUAAAUGAACAAGAUAAGGAAAAAAAAUACCUUAUAAUGGAUGAUACAAUGGCUACACAUUAUAGUCUCUCCUAUUACAACGUUUCAAAUUGUGUUUCAAAGCUUUAGAAAGUUUACAUCAACCUCUGGACAAGCUGCUUAAGUGGCGAUAUUCUCUAAACAGAAACUGCUAUUAUAUUAUCAAACGAAGGACCUGUCAAAUGCUAGGAGCCUAUCAGAUGCCUUAAGAUUUUAGCUACUUGCCAGAUGGAUCCAUUUCGUUAGUUAACCUUAAUAAAUAUUAAAAGUAUCAGAUCUUCCCAUCGAGGUACAAUACAGGCUAUGGAAUAAGAUAAUUCACCCAUAAACAUGGGUGGAAAAAAGUACAGCUAUCGUUGCUAAAAGAAAUAAUAAAAGGACUUAAUUUGGAGGGGGAAAAAAGGACAAACGAUAAGCACAAGAAAGAGGUUCGCUCUUCCAUAUGUCUACCCGCUUAAUUUCUUAAAAAGACAAUCAAUUUCAUACGAAUUUAUUGCAGCAGAAAGAUAGAUGUUAAAUUCCUAACGGCCUUUUCAUGUUUGAAGGGAGUAGAAAAUUAUCUCACAAAUCAUCAAACAGAGAAAAUACAUUCUAGUGGCAUAAAAAUACUCAUUCCUUUUAAAAAGAAUGUACCUAGAUUCGAUGGAUUUUUUACAUUGUAUAUUAGGGCGAUAUUCUCUAAACAGAAACUGCUAUUAUAUUAGCAAACAAAGAACCUGUCAAAUGUUAGGCGCCCAUCAGAUGCCUUAAGAUCUUAGCUACUCGCCAGAUUGUUUCAAUAGUUAACCUUAAUAACUAUCAAAGUAUCAUAUCUUCCCAUCGAUGUACAAUACAGGCUACAGAAUAAGAUAAUUCACCCAUACAUUGGCAACUGAAAACUCAGAAAGAUGAUAAACAAGGGUGGAAAAAAGUAAGCUAUAGUUGCCAAAAGAAAUAAUAGCCAUAAUUUGAAGAAAAAAGGACAAACGAUAAGCAUAAGAAGUGGUUCGCUCUUCAAUAAUACGAAUUUAUUGCAGCAGAAAGAUAGAUGUUAAAUUCUUAACAGCGUUUUCAUGUUUGAAGGAAGUAGAAAAAUUCUCUGAGACAAAUCAUCGAACAGAGAAAAUUCAUUUUGGUGGCAUAAAUAAAAAUACUCAUUCCUGUUGCAAUGAAUGUACCUAAAUUCGAUGUAUUAGUUGUAAUGUAUAUUAGGGCAUCAAGACUCUGCAAAAUAAUUACCAUUAGUCAAAGUAAAAGAAUACCUAGUGGAAUGGUGAUAGCAUAAUUCUGACUGCUGACCACCAUUGAUGCAGUCUGCAACUUUACUGAUUCCUUCAAUCAAUUUCAGAUAAAUGAACAUAAUAUAAUAUACCAAUAAAAAUCAUUAGCUGCUGAAAAUUAGAUGUUAAAUUAUAGACCCUUGGUAGAUGUUUGAAGAAAGUAGAACCAUGGUUGUUAUAUUCUCUCGAUCCCGAUGUUAUGAUCAUAUAUAGUUCUAUUCUACGAUCCAAUUCUAAUAGGAAAAUUGAAUUGUAGAAUCCUGUGGUUCUGUUGCUGGAUUUUAACCAUCUUAUCAAUUCUAAUGAUUCCACGAUCCUCCACUUUUUUCAUUAUUUUAAAGUUUUUUGCAUUAUUAUUUAAUAGAUUAAUUUGGCUAGAUCUUUUUUUUCUUUUUUAUUUUUGGGUGACGGGACUGCAACCGCUAUCCUUCGUGGAUAAACUCUCUGGCUGGAUCCUCCGUCGACACAGAGUUCCAUUUAGAAAUUGAAAAUUUAUAACCAAGGUAAAUUAAUUAAUUAAUAUUCAAAAUUAAUUAUAUAACAUGUGUUAUAUAUAUAUAUAUAUAUAUAUAUAUAUAUAUAUCCGCUAUCCUUCGUGGAUAAACUCUCUCGCUGGAUCCUCGGUGGAUACUUAGAUAGAGUUCCAUUUAGAAAUUGAAAGUUUAUAACCAAGGUAAAUUAAUUAAUUAAUUAAUAUUCAAAAUUAAUUAUUGUGUUAUAUAUAUAUAUCCGCUAUCCUUCGUGGAUAAACUCUCUCGCUGGAUCCUCGGUGGAUACUUAGAUAGAGUUCCAUUUAGAAAUUGAAAGUUUAUAACCAAGGUAAAUUAAUUAAUUAAUUAAUUAAUAUUCAAAAUUAAUUAUUGUGUUAUUUUUUUUAUUUUAUUUUUAGCUUUCUUGAUUUAUUGACGUGUGGAACCAAGCCAACAAAUUUGUUUUACGUCACUUCUACGACUGCACCCAAACUUCUCUAGAAAUUGGAAAGUAAUUACAAAACCAAUUCCCCCUUUUUUGUUGUUGUGAGGAAGUAAGUUGACCAAAUUUCCAUAUUCUCCCGUUCUUUUGUUAUCCCUUUCAUGUAAGAAACAUAGCAAAAACACACACAUACAUGAAAAAAUAAUAAAUAAAUAAAAAUGUGGCUUCAAUAAUGACCAUGAUAUCCGUUGCCACUAGUCUUCACAAUGAAAAAUGAUCAAACGUAAAUUCAUUGCUAAUUUGAGGGUCAACAAUAGUUACCAGGGCAAUGGUAAAACCUUAACCAACGGAAUUUUCCUUAGGAAAAAUAUUGUAAUUGCGUAUUCAUAUUUAGUUAAUAAAUGUGUUAACAUGACCUAUGAAAGUAUUGUCAAUAACUACGAAAAUUCCAUAGGUAAUAUCAUGUUCCAUUACCUAUGGAUUUUUAGUAUGUAACGGAUUAUGCUUCAAUACUCUCGGAAUAUCCAUAGAUAAUGACAAUGUUUUUCACCUACACCUAUGGAAAAUUCAUACGUUAAGCUCACAUUUUUAAUAAAAAUCGCUAAAAAUUAAUAUAUCUACUAAUUAAUAAUCAAUAUUAUCAAAUCACACCAACUAAUAAAUCAUCAAAAAGAACUAGAGUCAUCUAUCCAUGAAUCAGAUCGAACUCGGGCUAAUCAUCCAUAACUCUAUUAUACUUGGACUCGAUUGAAAGUAUUUUGUAAAAACAAAAACUAAUUCUUGUCAUACUCACUAUAUGAACAAAUUAUGAAGUACCCAAACUCUAGUUGUAUUUAUAUGAACUCGUUUGAAUUUUUAUGAACAAGAUCAUCAAGGUUAAAGAACUUGAUUGGGAUAUUGGAUAGUCCAUACCUUUUCCUAAAAAUAAGUGACCCAUUAAUCAAAAUCAAUGAAAGUAUAAAUGAACUUAAAAAUACAAACUAUAAGAUUUGAUUGGGACAUUGGAUAGUCCAUACCUUUACAACAUUGAUUUUUACCAAUUGUAAUGGUAGACAUUUACCAACGGAAAGCUAGUUGGUAUUGUUUAAGAUUUUACCAAUGGAAAUUUCGUUGAUUAAAGAUUCAUACUUUACCAACGAAAAAUAAAUUCGUUGGUAAAAUGUUUACUCUUUACCUACGGCAGAAUCCGUUGGUAACUAUUAGCGAUCCUCAAAUUAGCAACGGAUUUGCGGUUACAAAUAUUUCGUUGGUAAAAAGUAAUAGCAACGGAUAUCAAGGUUUUAAGAACGAAAAAUCCGUACCUGAAGCCAUGUUUUUUAGUAAUGUACUUGAUUUCUGCUGUUCUUCUCUUUUUUGUCUUUAAAAAAUAAAAAAAGAUUUACUUGCAAGAGUUGUUCCACCGAUUUAUUCUUCUUUUUAAACAAACCUCUCUUUGUGAGCUUGUUCAUCUUCAUCAAUUGUAAUUUCUUCCAAGUUUUUUGAUUCUUCAAUUGCCACCACAACAAAAUUUAAAUUUUCAUGUGAAGAUCGAAUAAUUUUUUUCUACCCUUGAAGAUUACUUACUUAUUCGUCAUAUCUUUUUAUCUUAUUGAUAACCACCAAUAAUCAUGAGAGCAACUGAAAUUGAUUUAGAUUCCUUCACGAAUAGGGCCUAAUAUUCUCUUCUCAAAUAUUGAAGACGAAAUUUUUAUUUUAUUUUAUUUUAUUUAUUUAUUUAUUUAUUUAUUUUUUAAACUUUGUUCGCACCUUUGUAUAUAUUUUGAAGAAUCUCCUAUGCUUGCUUUGAAGUGGUAGUAUUGACUCAUUUUGAAAAAUCGUAUCAUCCCAAACUUGAUGAAUCUUACUAAGAGUCUUUUGAUCUUCUGCUUGGUUGCCUGUUGCAAGUCUCUUUAUGCUUGAGACGUGCCCUCUUCGUUAUGAUGUGCAAAACCUUUCUCUAUCUAGUCACGCAAAUUCUUGACUUCCAAGAUAUGCUUUCAUACGAAUACACCACGUGCUAUACUUAUCAUUAGUGAAUUGAGGAACAAGAAGAGAAUUGUUGUUUGCCAUCUCUUCUUUUCACACUCUUAUAACCUCUCACUCUAAUACUACUUUUGUUGAAAAAUUGGAUAUGGAACAACAACUUCCAGAAGAAGACAACAUAAUAUUCAAGAGAAAACUCAAUUUUAAUUUUAACACUUCAAAAUGAGUUAUGAAAAUGAAUAAAUAACUAGCCUAUUAUAAGUUUUACAAACAUGAAUGUAUAUAAUAUAAUCUAUUCAAAUGUACUAAGUAUGAAAUGCCCUAUUAUUCCCAACACGAAUCAAUGAAUACAUGUAUCACAUUUAUAUACAUGCACGUAUAAUGCCAAAUGACACUUGAAUUAACUUACGUAAACAAAGUUUAUAUUUACAUUAGAAUUGACAAGAUUUAAGCUCUUUAAUCUUUUAUAUUUGCUUUCCUGUUAAACACGAGCAAACCAUAUUUCAACGCCCACAGGAUCUCUGCUUCAGGGCACUCUCUCCGGAGUAAUGCUAUACGACCCGCAUGGAUCACCAUACACACACAUGGGGGUGGAGGUUACUUUAUUCGCACGGGACCCAUACAUCUCAUGUGAGGGCGCGGUUAUCGGGGAUGUCGUCAUGAGGGUCAAGUGGCAUUUCCCCUCUCUCCGUGGAGGAAUAUGUCAUCGAGUUUUAUCAAUUAUUGGCUCGAAUUGAUGUCUCCAAAACUGUACAUCAGUAUAUGGGUGGCGUUCGUAUUACAUUCUCAGAUACUCUGCAUAUAUUUUCUCCUACUUCUAUUUUGGAAGCCCAUCAGACUGCCAUUCAGUGGGAACGAAGAGGAUGGGGAGAUAAAAAAUUCUGGUACAGUCAGUAGUGAUAUUCAGCGGAAACAUACAGCAGACCCACACAGCACAGCAGCUGGUUCAACUCUGCCUAAUGCUGCUACUGAUACUGUAGCACGUACUGCACUUCCGGCAGCAGCACGUAACCAACAAAGGACUCGAACUACAAGUGUGUUCUGUGGUGAUAUCGAUCGGGCACUGUCAGUCUGAAUGUCCCGAACAGAUACAUAAAAUGACAUUAGCUGAGGGAACUGAUGAUGCUGUUCAUCGACCACACCACUCACGACCGUAUUUUUGCCACUUCAGAGAAGUACAAAACAGCUGCUGAUAAAAAAUUCCAGGAGAUUCAUUUCUAGGUUGGUGACUUCUUUUGGGCUGUGUUAACCGAUGACCUCAUCCUCGCACAUGAAUUACUACAACCAAACCCGCACAUGAAGUAUUCCAUGAGGAUAUUUGGGAGCUUAUACGACCUCAAGACAAAUUUUAUUGCGGAUUUCCAUAAGCCAGCUCCAUUUUUCUUUUUCUUUUUUUGCUGAAAGGAUCCAUUGUAUUUUUAAAUUUUGAUGUUUGAUUUGUAGCUGAGUUAUAAUUACUUGGAUUAUUUGGUGUACAUUAUACCUUCUUAUAUAUCCAAUUAGGGGUAAGCAGUUUGAUUUGAGUAGUUUUUAAUUUCGUCGUAUAUAAUUAAUUGUUGUUUCCUAUAGGGUAACUAGUUCAUGACAAUAAAAAAAUCUUUGUAAUUUAUUGAUUAUAAAACUAAAAAAUUAUAUAUGUCAAACUAUAUAUUUUGAUAUAAAACAUUAUAAAGUCACAAAAUUCAAAACGAAGUUAAGGUUAAAUUCGAACACGAUAGAAGUUAAUAUAAAGAUUAGUUUAAAACUUUAGCUCCUGUUUGUUACAUAUUUCUUCGAACUUAUUUUUCUCAAAUUCAUUUUUAAUCAUAUAAUCUUCCAAUUAAAUGAUUUUGCACGUGAAUUCAUAAAUUUUUCCUUUUUUAACCACACUUUUUUAAAAUAAAAUAUUUUUUUUCACAAAAUCUAUGAUAAAAAAAUCUACAUCAAACCAAAACUUAAGUUAUAUUUGAAGAUUAAGAUUUCAAUUUAAUAGUAUGAUCCUUCUUGGAAAAAUAUAUGUUUGAAGUUUCAUUUUGGUUUCAAGACGUUUCUAUGUGCCAACAAAUCACCUAUUUCUGAAAGAUGGUUAUGAUUUAGUUUUUCGGUUUGGUAGUUUUUGCUUAUGUACCCUACUUUUCGUUCCAACAAGCUAAAGUGGGAUUGUGGAAUUUGUGUGUAUUUAGUUCUUGUUGUGAUGAACAAUCGAUAAAGUUACUUUUUCAAAACUUUUUGAUGCUCAAUUGAUUUUGUGAGUGCUGUUUGAAAGAAAUAUUGAAGGAAAAUAACCGUGCAUGAUGAGGUAAUUAUUUUAUUUUCCAUAAAAUCUUAUUUUCUUUCUAAAAGUUGCAAUAAAUAUUGCUACACUUGCAGGAUUUUGAUUUUUGUAUAUUUGAUGAUUGCUAAAUGAUACUUUGGAGUUAUAAAUAUUUUCUGCAGUACUUUUCUAAUACCGAAAUGAUUUUCUAUUGUUAGAAGGUGAAAGGUUGGAGCUAGGAGUCACAUAUCAUGGAGAUAAUAGAAAACUUGGUUAGCCUCACGAGGCAUAAUCCAGUGGUGCAAAUGAUAAGAGUGAGGUAGUCUCAUCCUUACUGGCGGCCGCAGUGUGAGGAUUUGAUUCCUGAGAUAUGAAAUUUGACUCUUUGUGGGCACCAGUGUAUGGGCAAACUCUUAUUCCCUAAUUUGCAGAGACACAUUCCGCAAUUUACCUCCCUCACAAUACUCCAGGAGCGGAGCGGUGGGGGCCCUCAAGGUUAGGGUUCAACCUUUUAAUAGAGAACUUGGUUAAUUAUUGUAGAUAAAAAUUGAGAUUACCGAGCAAUAAUUUAUAUAAACAGAUAGCGAAUAAGUACUUAGGCAAAAUUCCGACUUACAGAAUGAACGUACUAGAACGACAAUGGUUGAUGCAAGAAUUCGACUCUUUCUCCUUAAGAAAAUAAUGUCCCGCAUUGUUGCCGACUGUCUCUUGACACUCAUCUCCCAAGAUACAAUGACCUGGACUUGUAAUAGUAGCAUUUCAAAUUACAAGACCUGACGAACAUACUAAUGUUUUGAUCUCUCUAAAAUUGAGGACUAAAUUGCACGAAAUUUAAUAUUUGGGACAGAAAUGUACAAUAUGGAAUACUGCAGGAUGGAAGGAUAAUAUUUUACAAGAGAGAAAAAUAGAAAAGAUUUUGAAUGAAUACUAGAAGAUGUCACGUGUCGCGCACAGAAAAAUUCAGGGAAACAAUUAUAUAAUUCAAAUAUAUUAUUUUAAUUUAAUAAUAAAAAUAAUAUAAUUCAAAUAUUAUUUAACCAAUAUAUAUACACUAACUUGACUCAAGCUCACGCCCGCGACCCGUAAUUGAUUUUUUCUAUGUGAGAUUGACACUUUUCAAUUUUUCACCAAUUUUUAUUCUCAAUUUAUUUCAACUUCAAGUGGUCAUUUUUUACUUUAAUUUCUCAUUCACCCUUAAUUGGUUUUGAGAAAAUAAAUUCAUACAUUAAUCUAUUAAUUUAUGGAGUAGAUUACACCUGGCCAAAGAAAUUUGUUAUCCAACUUAUGGGACCUACUUAAAUUAUUGGUCAAACCAACCAAUUUUCCAACAAUUAUUAGAAAGAACGUGAAAUAGUAGUCAUUAUUGGAAGAAAUUGGACAGUUGAUUAUUAUGCUGGAAAAAAUGAAUCAAGUAGAGAUCGUACAAAGGAGUUUUAAGACGAGAUCAUGGGCAAAGAUACACUUUCAAUGAUUUUUAACAUCACAAAGAGCUUGAAUCUCUUUACGGAGAUUGUCUAAUUAGUUAUAAGUUUGCAUGUUUUUCAUUGUGAAUUGUGUACAUUAUUAUAAUUUUCUAACAUUUGUACACAAACUUGAUAGUUAAACCCAAGACUUAUCCCCUUGGGAGCCAAAGAGCAACCCAAUCUGAAAAACUGUCAUAUCUAUACUAUCAGUUUCUGAUCCCAGCCUUAGCACCUCAAGAAUCACCUUCUUUAUAUUAGUAUAAAAUUGUGUCAGUUCAAAAUUUGUUAGGUCAAAAAAUAAUGGGAGGGUUGAUAAAUAGUAUUAUAUAGUACUAAAUGAUAUUAUAGAAGGAAAAAAGUUCGAUCGUUGUCGAUGAAUUUUACGAUAAUCGUGUGAAACAUGAACGAACUUGGAGCACUACCUUAUUCGACUAUGCAUGCAUUCACAACUAAGUUAAGCUUGAAUCACUCUUUCUUUCUUUUCUUUUUGGGCUUUGCUACAUGUACCUGGGCGUUUACACGCCCCUCACAUGAGGGCGGGUCCCACGCAUUUAUUGUGCGCGGGCCCUGCCGCCCAUGUGAGAGCGUUUCUCUUUCUUAUUUCUUUUUUAUUGGAAAAAGGCCUACCAAAGAUUGGUAUCUUUUCUAUAAAAGUAUGACGGGAUAACGUUCAUGUCUCACCAUCUAAAAUCGUUGUAGUUGAUAAUUCAAGCAAAAGACAGAAAAAAAAGAAUGGCGUGAGAAAUCAGGCACGCGUGGACCGAAGUGGCCCAGAAAGAAGCAUGGAAAAGAAAGCAGAUUACCGGAGAAUCCCUCGUCACCAAUUGAAAUUGUUGCUUUAUCCCAAAAAAAAGUACAGUGUGGAGGUGAGUCGCACUCAUCCUACUUGUUAUCACCCCAUAGCUUCACUCUUAUUUCUCUUGUCGUCUUUAGGUCAAUUUCCACAGUAUUUGAAAGAUUGAUUUCGGCCAUUUUCGAGUCAUCUUAAUUCUUCACUGACUUUAUAUAUUUUGUAAGUUUAAUUAACUUAACAAAGUUUUAAAAUAAACGGAGUACUUUAUAUUCGAAUGUAAUGUUAUAACUUGAAAUGUACACCUACUUUUAACCAAACAUGCUGAGUCCAACUUUGAGUAGCAAGAUUGAAUUUUUUUUUAUUUUUUUUUUCAUUUUUAAUAGCAUUUUUACACUGUUAUGUAAUUUUAAUUGAGAAAUACUAAACCAAAUUCAAAUAUUUUAUUUGCAAUUUUUUGAUAUUCAAAAACUGGAAGGAAUAAUAUAUCAUGGUUAGAAAUAUAUAACUUUUUGCUAAGGUGCGAUAUUUAGAGGUCCAACUGAUGUGACAAUAAAGAUAACAAUUGAAUGCACUAAAUAUGAAGUGGAUGAGCUCGAAAAUUGAACUUCGUCCAUCAAGAGAUGGCCUAGCUCACAGUAAAAAUUGAAAAUAUGCACAAAUGUUGCAUAUUCCAAAUUUCCAAUUUACGAAUAACUAUUUAUUCUACCUUGUUUUAUUAAAAUUUCAAUAGUAAAGCUUAUAAUUUGAAUUGAAAUAAGAAAUCAAACUUAACAACUAAAUUUAUAAAGUAUUAAACCUUGGAAGUUCAUAUUUAAAAUGUGAAUUUUGUGAAGUACGCUAAAUUUUUAUAUAGAAUUUUACCAUUAAUGCGUGUAUUGGUCACAUAGAUAACUUCGUUAAGGAAAGCUACUUUCAAAGUGUAAAGUAUUCCAAUCGAAUCAGUUCACAUAAUCAACAAUAAAGUAUUAAGUGAUAUGAACCCACGUGAACGGUCGAAUUAUUUUAGAAUAAGGAAAAGGGAUUUGGUAUAAAGAUAUUUUGACACCCCAAUAAUGGCAAAUAAUUGACAAGUCAUUGCACCUUUGAAAUUUCAGACGUAUUCCAGAAAUGGAAAAGAGCAAAAAGACAGUGAAACAAAUAAUAAAGAAUGUGCAAUGAUAAGAAGAAUUAUUGGGAGGAGUCAAAGGUGGUUUUAUCAGGAUGCCUCCAGAAAUGGAAUAUUAGCAAAUGGACAUAAAGAUGAAGUGUUCGCAAUUUAGCAGCCACACUGAAUUCUUAGAUACGUCCUUGAAAAGACAACCGCUCUCAAUUUUCCAUUUUGUCACUAUAGUUGUCUUACUCGAUUCGAAUAUCGACCGGAUCAAUAUUGAGUUACGGUCAUUGAUUAAAUUUAAGUCAUGAUCAGAAAAUGAGUCAUCACAACUGGGAAUAUCUAUAUAAUUAUCAUAAGCAUCAUGAAAGGUUUCUGUAAUCCAACCUCUAGAGCAGAUUCAAACAUCCAUCUAGUCAAAAGACUCACUGAAUUAGUAGGUCAUGAUAGAUUGAAGAAUCAUUAUAGGAAGGGAUAUUUGUGUAACUGUCACCGCGCGAAUAUAUAAAUAAAUAUUAAUUAUAUUCACACCAUAAUUUUUAUUAACUAUUAAAUAUUUUAAUAAUCUUCGCUCAUUAUAACAAACUUUUUUACGAUGCAUUUCUAUUCUCAUCCUUUCAUUAAUUCAUACACCUUAUAUCAAAAAAUAUUUUUCAACCAAAAAGUUUGUAGGGAGCGAAACAACUUAUUUGUCCAUCAUAUUUUGAAAAACAUUAAAUGCAAAUGUGCACGAAGUAUUUUUAGUCAUUUCACGCAUGCUAAUAUAAUAUUUUGAUUGAAAUCAUCAUUCAUGAUGAGACAUGUUAAUUAGCCCUUCUUUGACAUCCAUUAUAAAGAGAAAUUUUGAUAAAAUGUAUUAUGAAAUAGUAUUUUUUGGGAGAAUGUGUGGUUGAAAAAGAGAAAAAAUUCUUUGAUUUACGUGUAAUAUUAUUUUAUUAAAAAAUGUGUAGCUAAAAAGAAGUUGGAGAAAAAUAUAUUAAAAAAUUUAAAAGGAUGUCAAACAAGGGCUUAAUAGAAAGUUGAAGUAAAUAGUCAAAUAACACAAAAUUUAGGAUAUAGAUUAUGUUAAGUUGUGGAGCCUAAUUAUUGUUGAGCCAUAAUUGUUGUGACUUCGUGGAGCUGUUCACAUAUCGACCUCCACAGUGAAGUCGUUGUGGGAGUUGGAAGGGGGCGGACAAGCCCCCCGAGGGUGCAGCCCUUUGGAACAAAAUCUUCAUUAAGGACUAUUUAGAAAUUUUUAUUCUUGUAAAAUUCUAUGAAAGAAUAAGAGUCUUUAUAAAAUGGGGAAAAAAAAUCAUAUUUAAGGUUUAUUCUUUACACCAUUUCAAAAUUCAAGUAAAAUGUUUGAAAAUUCAAAAUUCAUUUUAAGAUUUAAUUAAUUAAAAUUAUUUAUUAAAUAAAUAUAAUAAAGUCGCGGUUAAAAAAUUAAUGGUCACAGAUUUUUUAAUGGCACAUAUCAUCAAAUUAAUUGCUCACAUAUUAUUUCGAGGUCACAAAUCAAAAUCUUGUAGGUCACAAAUUAAAAAUUUUAUGGUUCAGAUUAUUUUUUAGUCACGGAUCAUCAAAUUUUAAGGUUUUAGUCAUAGAUCAUCAAAUUUUAAGGUCACGGACCAAAUCGUUGAGAUCACACAUAUUAUUUUUUAAUCACAUACUAUCAAAUUUUAAGGUUACAGACCACCCAUAACCCAAAAAAAAAAUAAAUAAAUAAAAAAACACUGAUAAUCAACCCAAACCACCAACUUGUAUCACCACAACCGCCGUCACCGCACACCACACCAACACCCUAGCAAACACCACCACCACAUCGCACCAACUGAAUUGGCUUUCACUGACAUUGCACCAACAAAACAGCACACAUAUCACAGAUCGGCCACCUCCACCACCUGCAUCAACAACCAUCACCACCACCCACAACGGACCAAUACAUCCAAAACCACCACCAAACGUCGACCAUAACCAGACCACAACCACCACCAUCCUACCUAGAUCCAUUGCACCCAACACCGCACGAAGUCACCAAAGCCACCCACAUCCACGUUGGACAAAGAAACCAUUUCCAGACCACCCCAACCGUCGAAAUCACAGAUCAAAAAAGGCAACAAUUGCGCCAGAUCCACCACAACACCACCGCAAAACACCACACCACACAAAACACCAUCCAAACCUCGCUACAGUGGUUCAUGUGCUCCGUCAAAGCAUCGAAGCGCUUCAAAACGGCAAGCGACCGUCGCUACGAAGAGCCUGAAAACGGCAAGUGAGAAAGACGAAGCGACAACAUGAAAGGUGAAGCACCGCUGCGGGACGACGUGAAAGGCUCUCUCCGACUGUGGGCGGCGGCACCAUGGGUUAACGGGAGAAAGUGAGGAGAGAAGAUGUUGAUUGCUGUGUGAAAUGAAUUUUAGGGCUGAAUUGGGAAUGAAAUAUUUUGUAUUAAUAUUAAUAAUUAAAUUCAUACCUGAAAUCUGCAUAAAAAACCAUCUCACCUCAUAUUUGCACUGAGAUCUUUAAAAGUCGGGAUUUUUGUAAUUUCCACUUAUAAAAUUCGAUUUUGUCCUAAUUUAUAUUAUAAAUAGGAAACAGUACUUAGACUUUAUGCAUUAUCAUUAAAUAGAGGAAAAGCAAAGUUAGAAGAAUUAUGAUUGAUAUUUUCUCUUGUGAAUCUUUUUUUAUCAUAGUGAGUAACUGCAGCGGCAAGAUAUGAUGUAGUUUUAUAUUGAGGUAAACCUCUAUAGAUCCUACUUUUUUUAUUGUUAAUUUUCUUUCUUUAAAUUGAUUGCUCUUGGAGGAAUAGAAGUAGGAUCUAUCAUUCUCAAUAGAUUGCACAAUGAGUAAAUAUUGAGAAUUUUGAGUGAAGUUAAAAAUAUGAGGCAACCAAUAAAAAUUGUGAUGUGAAUAUAAUUACUAAUAAUGCAUAAUUUUACUUCUCAAGCUAAGCCAAACAUGAAUUCAAACCUUUUUUAUGACAAUUUUUGUUAUUUCUGUAGUAUUGUGAGAGUAUACUUUAAUUUUGUUUAAAAUAGUCAUAAUAUAAAUGGUUUAUUUACAAUGAUAAUCGCCAACUUUCAUUCAUCUCAUCGAGAUUACUAAUAUUCAAUUUAGUGUGAUUAAUAAUAAAACCCUCAAUUAUAAUUUUGUUUCAAAUUUCACGUUCAGUUGUAAUUGUUAAGCAAAUUAAUUACUAGCCUACUUGGUGUAAAAGUGGAACGGAUUUGUGAAUGUGUCUUCAACAAUCAUGCGAUAUACUAUGUAAUCAAUAAUGUCAAACAAUUAAAAAAGAAGUCGCAUUUUCUGAAAAAGCGUUUCAAUUAAUAGGUGUUUAACCUCUAACUGAACAAAAAAAAAUUUGUCUUCCACCAUUCAUCUCAUCGAUUUCCAAAUUAGGGCUUUCCACAAAAUUUGUUCAAAAUGACAAGAAAAUUUUAACCUAGACAUGUUAGUGUACAAAUCAACAUACAUGUGUCAAGAAGUUUGUUAAACAACUAGAAUUGAUUAGGGUAGAUGGCGAAAUUAGGUUAAAAAAUUGUAUGCAUGUUUCCUUGUUUGCGUUUGGCACCAAAUCAAAAUCGAGUGAUUUGACUGUAAUAAAAAUAAAGAUUAGAUACCCUACGGUCAAUGCUUGUGAGGGUAGUACCAUGUAACUACGAUAAACAAUACCAUGAUUAAUUGUGCCAAUUUUACAAAUCAUGGAAAUGAAACUUUUUAUCUCAAAAGUCUAGUGGAGUAAUCAUAUUAAAGAUCGAUCUAGACUACCAUGACAAUCUUACAUAUUUGGCGCUUAGCUUUAAGCAUAAGAAAAUGUUAGUGUUUAAAUCAAGGUGCAUGCGUCAAGAUGUUUGUUAAAGAACACGAAUUGAUUAAGGUUAAUAGUGGAAUUGGAAUAGGACUUUUAUCAUACUUAUGUUCAAAACCUUUGUCGCUUGUGUUUCAUGUUAUUGAUUACAUGGAAUAUUGGACUGUUGUUGAAGGCACAUCACCAAUUCCUUAAAAUUUGAAGUCUACAGAGGUGUUUAUUGUUUGUUUGUCUAAUGGUGAUACGUAUAGUGAGAAAUUUAUGGCAAAUUAAUAUUGAGCGAUUAAUUACAGCAGAAUAAAUAUCGAAGAACCCAAUGGAUUUAAAUGAAUGCUAAGUGACCAGAAUUAUAAUUUACCAACAGUAAAUGUGGAAGCCCCGCACAAAAUGAAACAAUUUUUUUUUUUUUUAAAUAAAUAUAGGUGUCUGGACCAGUUUACGUGCACCUCGACUACUCUCAUAGGACCCUAAAGUUUACAGGCUAAUACUCACCUCAGUGGCUCUAAGAGAACUUGAACUGAUGACCAUUAGGGAACAAACUCAAGAUCUGACCACCGAGUUACCCAUUAGGGUUUACGUAGUAACCACAAACUUAACAAAAAAGAUUGCUAAAAACAUUAGAAAAGGAAGCGAUCUUGAACACAUAUUUCAAACGAUUGAGAAUAAUGCAAAAAUAUUGUUUAAGAAAUAAAAUAAGUGCAUAUUUUGCACGAAGUACUUUAACGGACCAGAUAGCUAUUUAAACCUGCCAUUCAAAUAUUAGAAAAUAACAAACCGAAUUACUCAAUUCAUCCCAUGAAAAGGGAAAACAUUGUUGUUCUGAUUACUAAAUUAAUUAAACAAAGGAAAGUUUGAAGCCGAAAUAUUUUCUCCUUUCAAUGUUGUACUUCAUCAAUAUUCCAUAAAGUACUCUUUUCACUCCUGCAAGAAAAAUAAAAAUCAAAAGAUCAACAGCUUGAAACUAUUUAGCACUUGUAAGAUAAGCAAAAAGAAAAGCAAUCCCUUUUAUUUUUCCAUACAAGGGGAGGGGGACUCAAGAAGCCUGUAGAGAAAAAUGUUGAUAAUGCAUAAUUAAGAAAUUUCAUGUUAUUAGUUCUCAUGUGAGCGCCCGAAGCAUUAAAUCACAACAUAUCAUCCUAGAAAAAUUGUAAAACCCCACGUUUGAGCCCCAUUUUUCUAAAUUCAUUUUUUCAAAAUUCAUUUUCAAUAACACAUUUUUCAAUAAAAUAAUAUUACAUGCAAAUCAAAAAAUUUUCCUUAAUUUUUAACCACACAUUUUCUAUCAAUCUAGUAUUCAAAAUGCAUUCUUUAUCCCAAAAAUGGGGCUCAAACAAGGGGUAAUUAUUUUGAUACUUCAUGGAGCUGAAACUUCGAUCUAAUAAUGUUUUGUUUAUGAAUGAAGAGAUUAAUAUCACAAAUAUUCUUACCACUUAUUGCUAUGUGAAAGAAUUUAACUUACAUUAAGAUCGGGGAGAUAAUUGGUUUCAGCCGAUGAGAAUUCUGGUGGAAACACAAGAUGCUGAGGCUCUUCUUGCCUUCUCAACGAAAGCUGAUUAAAAAUAAUCUUAUUGAACGAUGUUAUGCCUUUGAUGUAUAUUUAAUGAGAACAAUAUAAAAGUAAUAAAAUAUAUAUGUUGGAUGAUUUACUACAUGGUACUAAGGUUAUCACUCACUGAAUUCAAGUUGUGAAAAUUCAUUGGAUUGGCGAGGUGCUCAUUAGUGUCUCCACGAUAGUCUGCAACUGUUUGAUCCUAAAUCAAGGAGUAAAGGGAGAGCAUGAUCAGUCUAAAGAAUGAUUUGAAAAUUCAGUUAUCCUCUCAUCACGGAUAUAUAGUACUAUAGUAGUCGAGAUCAACAAAACUGUCAUAAUUAAAUAAUAUAAAAUUAGUUUCGAACUUCACCUAGUUCAACAAUAAACUCUCCGACUGAUAUGAUGCAAUUUUUAAUCUUCUAAAAUAUUCACAAAAAUUCUUACCACUUAUUGCUAUGUGAAAGAAUUUAACUUACAUUAAGAUCAGGUAAAUAAUUGGUUUCAACCGAUGAGAAUUCUGGUGGAAACACAAGAUGCUGAGGCCCUUCUUGGCUUCUCAACGAAAACUGAUUAAAAAUAAUCUUAUUGAACGAUGUUAUGCCUUUGAUGUAUAUUUAACGAGAACAAUAUAAAAGUAAUAAAAUAUAUAUGUUGGAUGAUUUACUACAUAGUAUUAAGGUUAUCACUCACUGAAUUCAAGUUGUGAAAAUUCAUCGGAUUGGCGAGGUGCUCAUUAGUGUCUCCACGACAGUCUGCAACUGUUUGAUCCUAAAUCAAGGAGUAAAGGGAGAGCAUGAUCAGUAUAAGGAAUGAUUUGAAAAUUCAGUUAUACUCUCAUCACGGAUAUAUAGUAGUCGAGACCAACAAAACUGUCAUAAUUAGAUAAUAUAAAAUUAGU